CCUACGGGUGGCAGCAGUGGGGAAUAUUGCACAAUGGGCGAAAGCCUGAUGCAGCAACGCCGCGUGAAGGAAGACGGUUUUCGGCUUGUAAACUUCUGUUCUUAGUGAAGAAUAAUGACGGUAGCUAAGGAGCAAGCUAUGACUAACUAUGUGCCAGCAGCCGCGGUAAUCUGUAGGUGGCAAGCGUUGUCCGGACUUACUGGGUGUAAAGGGAGCGCAGGCGGGAAGCCAAGUCAGCUGUGAAAACUACGGGCUUAACUUGUGGAUUGCAGUUGAAAUUGGUGUUCUUGAGUGAAGAAGAGGUUGGCGGAAUUCCAGGUGUAGCGGUGGAAUGCGUAGAUAUUCGGAAGAACACCAGUGGCGAAGGCGGCCAACUGGUCUGCAACUGACGCUGAGGCUCGAAAGUGUGGGUAGCGAACAGGAUUAGAUACCCUAGUAGUC
rnacentral:rRNA from 1 species